CCUUUUCUUUGAAUCACAAUGCCUAACUUCUUUGAAUUCAAAACCCUUUACUAGACUUAACACUUUUGUAUCCCCCUUAGAACUCUAAACUCUUACUCUCUUUUUUUUCUUUUUCUUUUCUUUCAUUCUCAUUCUCAUUCCCAUUCAUUCCAUACACAUUCCCUAUCCCAAAUACAAGUCUCCACCUAGUCCUAGCUAACCCAAAAAGCGUUGGUUAGGUCUACAUGAAAGACUGAUCUUGUCGGCUCAUACCUAACACGUUAUACCAAGCU
rnacentral:sRNA from 1 species